AACCAGCUCUUCAAGUGGUCGGGAUGAUUAUUGGGCUUAAAGUGUCCGUAGCCGGUUUAGUAAGUUCCUGGUAAAAUCAGGUAGCUUAACUAUCUGUAUGCUAGGAAUACUACUAUACUAGAGGGCGGGAGAGGUCUGAGGUACUACAGGGGUAGGGGUGAAAUCUUAUAAUCCUUGUAGGACCACCAGUGGCGAAGGCGUCAGACUGGAACGUGCCUGACGGUGAGGGACGAAAGCCAGGGGAGCGAACCGGAUUAGAUGCCCGGGUAGUCCUGGCCGUAAACGAUGCAUACUAGGUGAUGGCCCGGCCAUGAGCCGUGUCAGUGCCGUAGGGAAACCGUUAAGUGUGCCGCCUGGGAAGUACGGUCGCAAGGCUAAAACUUAAAGGAAUUGGCGGGGGAGCACCACAAGGGGUGAAGCCUGCGGUUC
rnacentral:rRNA from 1 species